ACCUAUCAGGACACUUCCAUCA
rnacentral:siRNA from 1 species